UAACCCUCAUCUGCAUAAUUUCAGUGCGAAAGAGUAUAUAUUUCACUCCCCGUUUCUGUUUUCCAUCGAGCCAUUCUGACUUCUUCAGACGAGUCAUCUGACGAGCCAGGGACUUACCCAAGUUGACGCUGCACCAUGAGGCUGUUUGUCUGCACGCUGCUGGUGACGAUGGUUGUCGCCGCCUUGCUGAUGGACGGCGCCGAGGGGGGGGUGGAGGAGGAGGAGGAGGAGGAGGAAUUUUGGAUCUGGUUUGGAAUUCGAAGCGGAUAAAAACCUGAGGGAGGUUCUGGAAGAGACAAGGUCUCUCCUGGAUGAUCUGGAGGAGGAGACUAUUCAGCUGGACGCACGGGAGUCAGAGGAUAACCUGGAGGAGACUGGUCAGCUGGACGCACGGGAGUCAGAGGAUCUGCAGGAGGAAGACUACGCCCGGAAGCGCCGCUAACUCCUGUCACCUGCAGCCUACCAGACGACCUGAAGACCGGAGUUUCCAGCGGUGUCAAAAUGGCAGGACUGCACGUUAGGUUGAUGAAUGAAAAUCGUGUAAACGCAGUGCCGUGUAAUGGUCCUUAUCCAUAGAUAUAGAGUUCUUCUUUCUUGCUUUGAUGUCAAGUUUCUUGCAACUUGUAAUAUCACAAGUCUUGCCUCUCACAAAACACCAAUAUAAGACCAACAAUUUCAAAGUUACAAAUAUUACAUUCUGUAUAUAAUUUGUACACAG